rnacentral:rRNA from 1 species
GACGAACGCUGGCGGCGUGCUUAACACAUGCAAGUCGAACGAAGCUUCAUUACGGAUUCUUCGGAUGAAGUAUGAUAUGACUGAGUGGCGGACGGGUGAGUAACGCGUGAGUAACCUGCCCUUCAGAGGGGGAUAGCGUUUGGAAACGAACGGUAAUACCGCAUAAUGUAUUUUGACCGCAUGAUCGAAAUACCAAAGAUUUAUCGCUGAAGGAUGGACUCGCGUCUGAUUAGGUAGUUGGUGGGGUAACGGCCUACCAAGCCGACGAUCAGUAGCCGGACUGAGAGGUUGAUCGGCCACAUUGGGACUGAGACACGGCCCAGACUCCUACGGGAGGCAGCAGUGGGGAAUAUUGCACAAUGGGCGCAAGCCUGAUGCAGCAACGCCGCGUGAAGGAAGACGGUUUUCGGAUUGUAAACUUCUGUUCUUAGUGAAGAAUAAUGACGGUAGCUAAGGAGCAAGCCACGGCUAACUACGUG